AAAAUUCUGUUAAAAGAGCAACAUGCGAAGUUGAAACCAUAAGUUUGCCUCCAUGUAACAGGAGACCAGAUGCAGUGAACCCCUCAGAGACCUAAUUAUAUAUCAUCGAAAUGUUGUUGAGGACUUCAAACCAUUUCAAAAAGAUUCGGCUUUUGAUAUUUAUUUAACUAAAAUUCACCUAUAUAUAUAUAUAUAUGUAUGUAUGUAUACACAUGCACGCACACACACAUACCAAUACUCUGACUUUACUUCCCAAACUAAAGAAAAAUAUCACCUUCUCUACAGGCACAAUUCUGCUAGACUAGCCUCAUGAGCAUUUUGCUUUUACAGGCAAAGAUAAAUUUAUUAAGAAGCAGCUAACAAUAGAGGAGGUGCAACCCAACAGCAAAAUGGAAUAUCUUCCAUUUCUUUUUCAAUAGCAUGUAACGAAACAGAACCAAUCUCGACCUUGGAAAUGGAAAUUUUGCAUUUUGUUUUCUAUAUUUGUUAGAAAACACAGAUCCCUUCUCCAGAAGGAAUCAUCACAUAGAAACAUAUAAUGGAACUGGAGUCAUCACACCAAAAAAUUAGGAAAACUUGUGUUUUGAUGGGGCCAUUUGGCAAAUAUAUACUUUUUGGAACCCAGCUUUAUGAAAUCUGAAAACUAGCUUUUGAUAUGAAAAAUUAUAUCUUUUUU
rnacentral:lncRNA from 1 species